rnacentral:rRNA from 1 species
GACGAACGCUGGCGGCGUGCCUAAUACAUGCAAGUAGAGCGCUGGAGGAGGAGCUUGCUUCUCCGGAUGAGUUGCGAAGGGGUGAGUAACGCGUAGGUAACCUGCGUGGUAGCGGGGGAUAACUAUUGGAAACGAUAGAUAAUACAGCAUAAGAGUAGAUGUUGCAUGAGAUUUGCUUGAAAGGUGCAAUUGCAUUACUACUAGAUGGUCGUGGGUUGUAGUAGCUAGUUUGUGAGGUAACGGCUCCCAACGGCGACGAUACAUAGACGAGCUGAGAGGGUGAUCGGGCACACUGGGACUGAGACACCGGCCCAACCCCCACGGGAGGCAGCAGGAGGGAAACAUUGGCAAAUGACGGAAGUCCGACCGAGCCACGCCGCGGUGGUGAAGGAAGGUUUUGGGUCGUAAAGCUCCGUUGUAAGAGAAGAACGGGUAUGAGAGUAGAAAGUUCACACUGUGACGGUAUCUUAACAGAAAGGGACGGCUAACUUCGUG